AGAGUUUUUUGGAUUGUGAAAUAAUAUCCCAAGAGUAUCUGAGAAGAACCUUUUGUGAGGUGGUACUUUCAAACAGUAAAACUAAACUAAACAUUCUUUCCCGGUUGCCUCUGGAUAAAAGGGCUCAGACAGGACAUUUUCCUUCUGGAAAGAUGCUACUUUGCUUUGAAGGCCACGAACUGCUGCUCCCAGCUUUACUUGUGCAAAGCAUCAGUGGAUAAGAACAAGAAGGUCCUUCACUGGGAGGAACAGUUUUGGGGUUUUUUACCAUGAAGCUGGAAUGAUUGCCGUCCACCCACUGCACUGUUGUCCCUCUGUUGGUGUUUAGGUCCUUGCCCAGAGAGCCAGACCCAUGAGCACAUGAAGCUGAGAUCCACCUUCUAACCUUUGAUGCCAUACUGAGCAGAAAAGGGUGCCAGGUGAUAUCUUGCAAAGCUGGUAUUUUGAACAGUUUAUGGGCUUUUGCAGAACUUACAACAAAGAAGUUGUGCAAGACUUGUUCAUUGGUCAGCUUACCCUAUGCAUUUCUGCACAUGCCCUGAGGAUCCAAAAUGCUGCAUUUUUUCAGAAUUCACCCAUGGUAUUCAACUAUUGA
rnacentral:lncRNA from 1 species